rnacentral:rRNA from 1 species
GGACAAUGAACUUAGAUCAUUUUGACCUCAAAUCAGGUAGGACUACCCAGUCCCUGAACUUAAGCAUAUCAUACGCGAAAGAAAA